UACGGAGGGAGCGAGCGUUGUUCGGAAUCACUGGGCGUAAAGCGUACGUAGGCGGUCUUGCAAGUCAGGAGUGAAAGCCCAGGGCUUAACCUUGGAAUUGCUUUUGAAACUGCAAGACUAGAGUCCCGGAGAGGUUGGCGGAAUUCCGAGUGUAGAGGUGAAAUUCGCAGAUAUUCGGAGGAACACCAGUGGCGAAAGCGGCCAACUGGACGGGAACUGACGCUGAGGUACGAAAGCGUGGGGAGCAAACAGG
rnacentral:rRNA from 2 species